rnacentral:misc_RNA from 1 species
CGAGGACGGCCUUGUGGGCACUCAGUGUGCCAUCAGCUGUGUUGAUGGUAAUGUCAGCGUGGAUUGCCUCUUCAAGCAUACGAGAGAGGCAUCUGAGGGUGCUUUUGCUUGAGCGUGACUGUGCCAUCCCUUCACUAGGCCAAAUUGAGCAGGCUUCACCAUCAUUUAUUUGAGAGAUCUUGAGGUCCAGAAACUCGACGUCAAUGACAAAACGCCCAUGGAAAGUACAAUCGAUGGGCCAAACGAAAUCUUCACUGUUUCGAAGCAACCUCUCGUGAACGGGGG